rnacentral:rRNA from 1 species
AAAGGAAUAGACGGGGGCCCGCACAAGCGGUGGAGCAUGUGGCUUAAUUCGAGGCAACGCGAAGAACCUUACCUGGAUUUGACAUGUAUUGGACGUAUGUGGAAACACGUAUUCCCGCAAGGGCCGGUACACAGGUGCUGCAUGGCUGUCGUCAGCUCGUGCCGUGAGGUGUUCGGUUAAGUCCGGCAACGAGCGCAACCCGUGUCAUUAGUUACCAUCAGGUGAAGCUGGGGACUCUAAUGAGACUGCCUGUGUUAAGCAGGAGGAAGGCGCGGAUGACGUCAAGUCCGUAUGGCCUUUAUAUUCAGGGCUGCACACGUGCUACAAUGGGCGGUACAGAAGGAAGCGAGAUCGCGAGAUGGAGCCGAUCCCGAAAACCGUCCUUAGUUCAGAUUGCAGUCUGCAACUCGACUGCAUGAAGCCGGAAUCGCUAGUAAAGGCGUAUCAGCUACGACGCCUUGAAUACGUUCCCGGGCCUUGUACACACCGCCCGU